rnacentral:tRNA from 1 species
UGUCAAGGGAUGGGAAUCGAACCCACGACCUUCCGCUUACCGGGCAGAUGCCAUGACCACUAGGCUACCCGGGAC